rnacentral:rRNA from 1 species
CGGACAGAGCUGGCGUAUCUGGCCUGCAUUCAGCCGCCGCGCGUCGGGCCCCGGUUUGCCGCACUCCAGAUUGGGAAGGUGGCUGGGCUGCUGGCGUGUCGGUGGUGCAUUUGCAGGUGGAGUGCGCCGAGGCGCUCGGCUCAGCGGCAUGAGCUCGGCUUUGAGGCCAACCGCGCAAGCGGUCUGGUACCCGGGUCGGGGGAGUGUUGUUUGGGCUGAGUGUUCGCUUGGGCACUGGUUUCGGGCCCGGGUGGGUGCCGAGCUGGCGGUGGACGGCGGUCGCGUGCGACACGUGUCUUCAGUCAGUUCGGUCCUGCUCGAGCUCUCGCGUGUCCGGCCUCGGUGUAAAAGCCGGUCAUCUGUCCGACCCGUCUUGAAACACGGACCAAGGAGUUUAGCGUGUGCGCGAGUCAUUGGGCGUUGAAAACCCAAAGGCGCAAUGAAAGUGAAGGUCUGCCUUGUGCAGCUGAUGUGUGAUCCUGGGCGCUGCGGUGCCCGGGCGCAACAUAGUCCCGUCCCGACUGCAUGCAGUGGGGCGGAGACAGAGCGUACGCGCUGAG